rnacentral:lncRNA from 1 species
UUUUGGACUCAAUGUAAUAUCGAUUGGUCCUAGAAAUCGGACAAUUCAGGUUCGUACGAAGUUCGUUCUGAAAUGGGGUGGUUGGCUUAUUGUAUAGUUCUAGGGAUUGUAUUUCACUCAAAACUUACCAAAUGACUCCUCCCACAAUAUUACGAUGUUCCCCAAGUUUUGGACUCAAUCCGAUAUCGAUUGGUCCUUGAAAUCGGACAAUUCAGGUUCGUACGAAGUUUGUUAUGAAAUGGGGUGGUUGGUGUAUUGUAUAGUUCUAGAGAUGGGAUUUCACUCAAAACCCACCAAAUGACUCCUCCCACACUAUUAUGAUGUUCCCCAAGUUUUGGACUCAAUCCGAUAUCGAUUCGUCCUUGAAAUCGGACAAUUCAGGUUCCUACGAAGUUCGUUCUGAAAUGGGGUGGUUAGUGUAUUGCAUAGUUCUAGAGAUUGGAUUUCACUCAAAACCCACUAAAUGACUCCUCCCACAAUAUUAUGAUGUUCCCCAAGUUUUGGACUCAAUGUAAUAUCGAUUGGUCCUUGAAAUCGGACAAUUGAAGUUCGUACGAAGUUCGUUCCGAAAUGGGGUGGUUGGUGUAUUGUAUAGUUCUAGAGAUUGGAUUUCACUCAAAACCCACCCAAUGACUCCUCCCACAAUAUUAUGUUGUUCCCCAAGUUUUGGACUCAAUCCGAUAUCGAUUGGUCCUUGAAAUCGGACAAUUCAGUUCGUACGAAGUUUGUUAUGAAAUGGGGUGGUUUGGUGUAUUGUACAGUUCUAGAGAUGGAAUUUCACUCAAAACCCCACCAAAUGACUCCUCCCACACUAUUAUGAUGUUCCCCAAAGUUUUGGACUCAAUCCGAUAUCGAUUCGUCCUUGAAAUCGGACAAUUCAGGUUCCUACGAAGUUCGUUCUGAAAUGGGGUGGUUAGUGUAUUGCAUAGUUCUACACAUCGGAUUUCACUCAAAACCCACUAAAUGACUCCUCCCACAAUAUUAUGAUGUUCCCCAAGUUUUGGACUCAAUCCGAUAUCGAGUGGUCCACGAAAUUUGACAAUUCAGGUUCGUACGAAGUUUGUUCUUAAAUGGAGUGGUUGGUGUAUUGUAUAGUUCUAGGGAUUGUAUUUCACUCAAAACUUACAAAAUGACUCCUCCCACAAUAUUAUGAUGUUCCCCAAGUUUUGGACUCAAUCCGAUAUCGAUUGGUCCUUCAAAUCGGACAAUUUAGGUUCGUACGAAGUUCGUUCUGAAAUGGGGUGGUUGGCUUAUUGUAUAGUUCUAGGGAUUGUAUUUCACUCAAAACUUACCAAAUGACUCCUCCCACAAUAUUAUGAUGUUCCCCAAGUUUUGGACUCAAUCCGAUAUCGAUUGGUCCUUGAAAUCGGACAGUUCAUGUCGUACGAAGUUCGUUCUGAAAUGGGGAGGUUGGUGUAUUAUAUAGUUCUAGGGAUUGUAUUUCACUCAAAACUUACCAAAUGACUCCUCCCACAAUAUUAUGAUGUUCCCCAAGUUUUGGACUCAAUCCGAUAUCGAUUGGUCCUUGAAAUCGGACAGUUCAGGUUCGUACGAAGUUCGUUCUGAAAUGGGGAGGUUGGUGUAUUAUAUAGUUCUAUGGAUUGUAUUUCACUCAAAACUUACCAAAUGACUCCUCCCACAAUAUUAUGAUGUUCCCCAAGUUUUGGACUCAAUCCGAUAUCAAUUGGUCCUUCAAAUCGGACAAUUUAGGUUCGUACGAAGUUCGUUCUGAAAUGGGGUGGUUGGCUUAUUGUAUAGUUCUAGGGAUUGUAUUUCACUCAAAACUUACCAAAUGACUCCUCCCACAAUAUUAUGAUGUUCCCCAAGUUUUGGACUCAAUCCGAUAUCGAUUGGUCCUUCAAAUCGGACAAUUCAGGUUUGUACGAAGUUCGUUCUGAAACGGGGUGGUUCGUGUAUUGUAUAGUUCUAGGGAUUGUAUUUCCCUCAAAUCUUACCAAAUGACUCCUCCCACAAUAUUAUGAUGUUCCCCAAGUUUUGUACUCAAUCCGAUAUCGAUUGNNN